rnacentral:tRNA from 1 species
GCGGCCUUGGCGUAACGGCAGCCGCGCUGGGUUUAGAUCCCAGUGGGGGAAACCCCGUGAGGGUUCGAAUCCCUCAGGCCGCA